rnacentral:rRNA from 1 species
GAUGAACGCUAGCGGCAGGCUUAACACAUGCAAGUCGAGGGGCAGCAUAGUCUUCGGACUGAUGGCGACCGGCGCACGGGUGCGUAACGCGUAUGAAACCUACCUAAUACAGGGGGAUAGCCCAGAGAAAUUUGGAUUAAUACCCCAUGGUACUGUUUUACUGCAUGGUAAAAUAGUUAAAGAUUUAUCGGUAUUAGAUGGUCAUGCGUCCUAUUAGUUAGUUGGUAAGGUAACGGCUUACCAAGACAUCGAUAGGUAGGGGCCCUGAGAGGGGGAUCCCCCACACUGGUACUGAGACACGGACCAGACUCCUACGGGAGGCAGCAGUGAGGAAUAUUGGACAAUGGUGGGAACACUGAUCCAGCCAUGCCGCGUGCAGGAAGACUGCCCUAUGGGUUGUAAACUGCUUUUAUAGAGGAAGAAAUAUAGAUACGUGUAUUUAUUUGACGGUACUCUACGAAUAAGGAUCGGCUAACUCCG